CUGCUCUGCAAGUUGCAUUAAAAAGAAAUUGUUGAAAAGACAAAGGACAGAAUAACAUUUCCUCCCUCGUCUUCCCCUCUCCCCCCCCCCCCCGCAGCACACACAGACACACUCCCCCACCUCUCCCCGCUGGGCCCAGAGCUACUUCUCACGCUUGAGUUGGUGCAAGCUCUGAUAAAGCCAUUGAAAGAUGCAGCGGGGAGACAGAGCGCUCCCAGGGACAGAGGGAAGCAGAAGAGGAAGCCGAAGUAAAAUGACCCCCUCCCAGGGAGCAGUGUAAUGUGGUUUCUUCCAUCGUGAAAAACCUGCUUCAUCUGGAGCUCCGGGAAGCCUGAAUCACUAUAGAUAAGACAUUCAAAGUGCAGUAUCCCUUGCACAUGCUGCCAGUUCUCAUUUUAAUCUCCCCAGACAUCAAAAAAAUUAAAAUGUAAAAUUCUAA